AUGGCCACGCCACAGGAUUCAGAUUCAGCACCGGGUUUGUCAGAUAGGGUCUCAUCAGCAAAUCACAACGGCAAACCCUUCAACUGGAAGGCUCCUGCUAUUAUCUUGGCGUUUGAGUUCUUGGAGAGCAUUGCCUACGCUGGUAUUGCCCUCAACUUGGUAGUAUAUCUUGGGAAGGUCCUUCACGGAACUACCGCUUCAAAUGCUGCAAAUGUCGAUACAUGGAACGGCACCACGUUCCUUACGCCCGUCCUUGGAGCGUUUCUUGCUGAUACAUACUGGGGGAAGUACAAGACCGUCGCCAUCUCCAUAAUAUUCUAUCUUACUGGGUUGCUCAUCAUUACUGCUUCGGCGAUCAUUCCAUCUUUACAACCCGCCGCAUGUGAAGGAACUUCAUGCCCUCCUGCCACAGGGUUUCAGAAUUUUGUCUUCUUUACUGCACUAUACCUUGUCUCGGUUGGGACUGGAGGGGUUAAAUCAGCUUUGCUCCCCCUUGGAGCUGAUCAGUAUGAUGAUUCAAACCUUGAGCAGAGUAAAAAGAAGCAGGCUUUCUUUAGCUGGUUCUUCAUUGCCAUUAACCUUGGCGUCUUCAUCUCGGGGACAGUUGUUGUAUGGAUACAGCAAAAUGUUGCUUGGUCACUUGGAUUCGGCAUCUCAUCGAUAUGCCUCAUUAUCGCCACAGUUGCCUUCUUGGCAGGAACACCAAUCUACAGGGUUCAACUUCCUACUGGAAGCCCACUUAAAAGUCUUGUAGCGGUGUUUGUUGCGUCAUUUAAAAAGAGAAAAGUGGAGGUUCCUGCUGAUAGCUCAAUAUUGUUUGAUGGAAAUGAUGCCGACUUAACCAAUGAAGCACCAAACAAAUUGGCACAUACUGAAGGAUUCAGGUGCUUAGAUAAGGCUGCUGUAGUCUUAGGGGACCAAGAGAUAAAGUGA
rnacentral:rRNA from 1 species